CAGAGUCCUCCCCCACUUCCUGCCCACAAACAUUCCACAUCAGAUGUCCGCAGAGAUCCCUGUGUGGACACAGAAAUUUCCCAUGUAGAAAUAAAGGUCUGCCUCCAGGUGGGGGAGAAGGGCAGAGAGGGGGCCAGCUAUGAUUUUAUGUAUACAAUUGUUAGGGUUUAUAUUUGCUCAAAGCAACGUUUUAAAGCGUCCAUAACUAUGGUACGGAAGGUAAAAGAGUCCACCACAAGGUGACUAUGUUUAAUAAGAAUAGUUACAAGAGUAACACUUCCUAGAGGGGCGGGCACUGGGACUUGGAUAUGCAGGGGGAGGAGGCGAGGGCCCUCCAGGGAAAGUGCUGUGAGCCUCCCUGUCUUGUGGCUGCCUGUGCCUGGGAAGCCAGGGUCUCUGACUGAAGUGCAUCCUCCUCGCGUCCUGCCGGAGCAACCCCCGGAUACAUAGGAGCUGAGAAGAGAAGCCGUGUUUGAGCAAGGCUGCCGGGUGGUGUCGUGAAUCAGAGGUGGUGAACCACAGAAAAUCAAAUGAAUGCUGAUCCAGGACAGAGUCAAGAAAAGAGACUAAAAGGUUAAACUCACCUGUGGUACUGAUGCUCAAAGAAAAUUACUGAAUUUUAGGGUCUCACACAGGAAAAUAUGACAUCUCUAUACUAAGAGUUUCAUCUGCAACCUAUUUUGGAGCAGCUGAACACUGAUGAAUUAAGAAAGUUCAAAUCUCUACUGAGUCCUUCCCAUGAAAGAGUACAUGUGGGCCUCAACAGCACUCCUGGCUGCCAAGGGCAUUUGGACAGACAAUGUUGUUUGAUAGAGAAGACCUUAGGAGGAUUGGGAUACAGGACAGUGAUCUCUGUCCCUUCCUGGACAAGGCUAUCCUUCAGAGGGACAGACUAUGAGGACUGGUACUGCUUCAUAUAUGUCAAUGUCCAGCAGCUUCUUCCUGCCAUGUUCUAUGUUCUGGGGUGUGAGGAGGAAGAAGAUGGGGAGACCUGCAGGUGGGAUAUUGGGGAUGUGGAGAAACUGUUCUCCACAGGAGAAAGAUUAAAGAACCCCAGCCUGAUCCAUGAGAUACUUCUUGUUUGGUCUUUUGAAUGAAAAGAGAGUCAAGGAGCUGGAGACAAUUUUCAACUGCCAGAUGUCAAUGGAGGUGAAACAGAAUUGCUGAAAUACAAAGGACUUUCCAAUGAGAAUAAAACUUCUCUUCAAUAAUGGUCAUGAAGGAACUGUUUUCUGUUUCCAUGAAUCUCAGAAGAGGUUGUGAAGGAUGUAGUGGCACAAUUUAAGGAAAUGUCUUUUCAUUUGAAAAAUACAUUUGAAGUGAUGUAUUCUUCAUUCCACCUCAAGCACUGUCAAAAUUUACAGAAAAUCUCACUUCAGGUGGGAAAUGAUUCUGCAUCAGAAUUACAUUCUUAGUUUGAGAGCUUAGGAUCUGAAUUCUCCCUGUUGCUGGACUUCCUGCCUGAUGAACAUUCAAAGCGGGAGGCAUGGUGUCAUGACUAGGAAUGAGUGCUUUGGAACCAAUGCUUGUUUUAAUGUGAGGUUCCAGAAAGAUUAUCACUGGCUUUGUCUCUGGAAGAAUCUCUGCUCUGUGUUUAGAUCAAAUUAGAACCUGAGCUUUCUGCAAACUUAGAGCAGGAUGUUAUCAACAUGGUGAUGUAAACAGCUACUGGAAACUUCUCUCCAGAGACUCAAUGAAAAAAAUGAUAAUUCUGAAUGGUUUAAAACUCUGGAAGAGGAUGGAGACUGGAGAAAGACACUGCAAAAGCUGAACUGAAGAAAGAAGAAAUGUCAGAAAUGGAUGAAAUCCAUAAGACAAGGAUGAAGAGUUAAAGGAUGAAAUCUCAUAAGACAAUGGAAGAAUGAAACAUAUCUUAUGGAUAAGGGGUGAUUACUGAAUAUCUUAGACAUGCCUAUACAUUGUUAUAUUUUACAUUUCAAAGAAGUUAAAAAGAAGAAAAAUUGAGAAGGAAGAGUAAAAGCAUAUGAAAAACCUGGAUAGAUAAAGAAGGAAAAUUGCAAGCAAUAUCCAGAAAGAUGGCGUGAACAUGGAUCAGAUCUACCUGGGAAAAUGACCAUUCGAUUGUGAUCACUGAUCCUGCCCAUCCUACACCCACAGCUCAUUUCACUUACUUGUGUGCUGCAUUGUGGCCCACACUGACCUUUCCUCAGUGAGCUCAUCCUCUGAAACUUUCAGCUCGCUUUGACCUCUCCUCCAGGAGAGCCAUAUUCAUCAGUUAGUAAGCUUGGGUCCCAGGAUAGAUCUGGUAACUAUGGAAGAAUGAGAUUAUGAGGAGGUUGUUUGCUUUUCAUCAACACCUACUUGGCAAUUUUGCUGGAUGCCUAUCUCUGCAACCCUACCAUCUAUUCAGGAUCUUCCAUUAUCUCCUAUAUAUUUUUGAGUUAUUCUCUCCUGCAUGCUAAAGGGUACAGCACUGUGAGUACCUGGGGAAUAUGAGGGGUGAAAUUUCUAAUAAA